GACGAACGCUGGCGGCGUGCUUAACACAUGCAAGUCGAACGGAAAGGCCCUGCUUUUGCGGGGCGCUCGAGUGGCGAACGGGUGUGUAUAACGCGUGUAACCUGCCCUUGACUUUGGGAUAACUUAACGAAACUGGGGCUAUUACCGGAUAGGAGCUCCUGCUGCGCGGUGGGGGUUGGAAAGUUUCGGCUGUUGGGGAUGUACUCGCAGCUUAUCGGCUUGUUGGUGGAGUAGUGGCGUACGAAGGCUUUGAAGGGUAGCCGGCCUGAGAGGUGAACCAGCCACAUUGGUACUGAGGUACGGACCAGUCUCGUACGUGAGGCAGCAGGCGAGAAUUUUGCAGAGUGGGCGGGAGCGUGAGGCAGCAACGCCCGGAGCGGGAUGAUCGCCUACGAGUUGUAAACCGCUUUCGCCGGAAACGAGCCGUGAUUGACGGUAAUUGGUAAAAAAGCACCGGCUAACUACGUG
rnacentral:rRNA from 1 species